GAUGUCUCUCGUAAAGCUGAUUUUUCUAAUAACAGAAUGAUACAUUGUUAAAAACCAAUGCAUUGUCUGUCGAUAAUUGACCGGCCCGGGUAAAUUUUACGGGGACGGGGUGGUAAUCUGCCAUCUAUCAAUAGUUUCUCUCUGGAAUCGUUACUUGUAUCUUCUAUUGUCACUGCGGUGGUCCCGUACGCAACAUUGUCAGUGGUCGGAAGUGGUAGCGUGUAUUUUAGCGAGCGGCCUAUGCGCAGCGCGGCAACGCUACACAUUUUUCGC